GGGGGGUUGGGACUGGGUGAUCUCUGAGGUCCCUUCCAACCCAAACCACUCUAUGAUUGAAUGACAUUUUUGUUCUGGAGCAACUUUCUGCAGACGUAAUUUUUUGAUCCCGCAUGUGAUGAAUAUUAGGAGCAACAGUGUGGCUGUGAAGCUGACUGUGGAAGAGCCUCUUAAGAGACAUCUCCUCAAGGCAAGCGGGAGGCCGUAUGCUGUACAAUGCAGCUCUGGGCAAGAGGAUGUCUCUGCAAAGAGAUGGGCCUUUGAGCUGAGGGGUGUUGGAAGAGGUGGCUUGGUAUUUCUGGCAGCUACACACUGCUCCUUGCUUCUCUGGUUGCGAUGGCCUUGUGCUGUGCAACAAGCUCUCCUUCAUGCUCUUCACUCGUAAUAACGUGGUUCUUUGCCUUUCUGAAAACUCAGAAAACUUACCGGCACAAACCCGAUGCUCCUUCCCAUCCCAGUUAUUCGCAAUCGGGAGAGGUAUUCCCAAAUUUUAAGAGAAAAUAUUUUUGUGUUUUCUUAGUUUUGCAGGCAUCCAUGAGUGAAGGACCAGAGUACCUCAAUCUGUCCCUUCAACAAUCCUUCCCCGCUCCAUGUUUUCAAUUGGAAACCGCACCAGUGAGCUCCUAAAUCCAGGCGGCGCCUCUGCAGAAGUGGAGCAAAACCAACAUGAUUCAGCAGAUGAAGCUGUAAAAUAUUCCAACCUUUGAAGUCAAGGCAGUUCAGCCCUGACCAUUCAUGUAUCUCAGAAGUACUAGGAGAUAAACGCGGGAAACAUUACACAGCUCGGUAAAUAUGCGUUCAUCAGAGUACCCGUAAUUGCCAUUGUGUUGGGAUUUUUGCUUUUAUAGAACUACAAACUUGUCUUACAACUGCUAGAAACGCUCUCCCGCUAAUUUUGUAUUUUUCAAGUUCUUCAGAGAUUCUCCAUUUUCUCCAAAGACAGAAAAUCUAUUUUCCUUUCAAACAAAGGAAAUCCAGUGUGGAGUCUUUACCUGAGGAAAGAACCUCUCAAAGAAAAUGUAACACGGCUGGUAAAACCAGUUGCUCUGAAACACUCUGUAUCAGCAAACUGAACAGCUGAUAAGAAUAAUAGAAAUUUUUAGUCAAUGAGAAAAUACUCAUCAGGAACCUCAUCCUACCAGCACAAAAUUUGCUAAUAUUGCCUGGCCUUGCGUUGCUGCCAGAAGUAUGAAUUUGUACUGAAAUCCCACUGUAUGGGAGAAGCACCCCAGCCAAAGUGUAAGAAAUUUCACUGCUAUAAACAGGGCACAUAUGGGGUUUAUGGAGACAUCGGGGUCUGGCUAUUGAUUUGUGCUUUCCUCUGGGUAAUACAUGUCCUAUAAUGCCAUGAGAUUUAUGACCAGGACUUUGAACUCUGGAAUAACUUUUAAAAAGAGGGGGCUGUCUAUAAAAAGUGUGGUUCGGGUUUUAAUCUGUUAUAAUCUAGUGCCGCAAGAAGACUUCGAGAGUUCAUUUAUUUGGCCGUGAAUACUUUUCACACUGAGACUAGGAGGCCACACUCAAAUACCUUCAAAAGUUCAUGCCAGGAUCAGUGAAAUUCAGAGUCACGAAUGACCCAGGGAACAAUCAAUCCUUUGAUUAUAGGAAGUUCCUAUUAAAAUAAUGGAGCACAGAAAGUGCCUUGCUAAAAUGAAUGUGAGUCUCCCAAACCUGUACAUUUGCGCAAAGUGUUGGCUGAGAAAUUUCAGCAAUUCCUUUUAAAAAAAAAAAAAAAACAAACAAACAACAAAAAACAAAAAGCAGACAACAUUUUGAUAUCAAGCAGAGUUUUGACAACUGAUUUGGAUAAAUUGAAUUUCUCUUUUAUCCAGAUUUCUUGACCUGUUCUUAAUACCAAUUUCCCUUGGUGCUUGCUUUCUUGAUUAUAGUUGAAAGAAAUUUAUAACAAAUCUAUCUUCUGUUUUCGCUUCUAAGUACCUAUAAAUUUCUACUACAUUUAUAUAUUUGUAUCUCCAGACUGAAAAGCAAGAUAAACCUGAAGGCAAACUUAUCGUACCAGAAUAAAACUCUUUACUCCUGGGACUGGCCAAAACAACAAUCUAUGAAAAAUGCAAAACAGCAACAGGUCUUGUUUUUAAACUGUUUCGCAAAAUAUUUUUGUGCUGAGAACCUGAUCACUGAAGAUGCUAAAGUGCUGCUGGCUGCCCUGAAUGCCUCCCAGUCUCUGACUGGGACUGUCCCAGUUGGUGCUCAGCUUCUUGCAGAAGUGGACCCCUUAAGAGUUUGCAUACAACUAACUAAACACUAGUAAGAUCCUCUGUUUUAGUUUUCCAACACCUGAAUGAUUUAUGGGCAGAAAGUAGGUCUACUGCAAAUUCAUAAUUGAUGCGUCUCUUUUGAUACGCAGUCUAACAAAUGAAAAAAAAUAUUUAAAAUACAAUUGAUUUGUUACUUGUUAUGGACUGGAAGAAGACUUCCAAAAGACUGUCAUGUUUUCUGGCUUGCCCUGAGAUACAGUUCUAUCUAGAAGAUCCGAGAUCCAAACCAUUCAUACCUUCACCUAAAUAAAAACAAAAGCCAUCUUCUUCCCUUGGGUCCUGGUGAUACACACACCCCAGCCAUCCCAGUUAUGUGGGACACAUUAAACUGUUUUGACUUGGUUACUUCUAAACAAAACCAAUGAAAUUCAGUUGCUUAUAAAAAAAUGAGACGGAGGCCCUCUUUUUCUCUCCUCCACAUCACUGCUUUAAUCCCUGCUAUGACCAGGUGGGUGUAGCAAUGACUGUAGCUCCUCAACCUGAUGAAAAUAGUGUUGCAUUCAGAAAUUCGAUAAAUGAAUGGGAGGGACAAGUAAUGCUUCCCCCCCCCCCCCCCCCCCCCCCCCGGAUGUUUUGUUAAUUAAAUUAGCAUUUAAAUAGCCAGAGCUAAUCUGGGAAGUCAGGCCCUCAUUACAGUAACUAGGAAGGGGGAAAAGAGCUGCAGACAAUGCCCUACAAGAUGGGGUUAAGUUGGCGUUUCACAAACUAUUUGCCCAGCCUGUCCCUCCCAAGUGAAAGCUGCCACCCCCCCACCCCACCCCCCCUUUCCUCCCAGAAUAAUUAGCAUGUUCCAGUGCUGUGAAUGGAAACAAUAUCCUCCCUCCAAGCUGUGCCCCUCCAGGGAGAUGCUUCCCACAGAUUGUGAAACUCUGAGCCAGGGAAAGGGCUUGCCGAGGAAUUCACAGUGGGGUAAUUACACUGAGGUAGCUUGUGCCCGGUGCAAGAUAAGUUGCAUUACUGUAAUUCAUUGCAGGAGGCAGGGGCUCGCAUAAAGGAAAUGUCCAGAGGCAAGACUGCAGAGCCAUGAGAAGUCAUCGCCUUCCCAGAGCCCCGAUAAAACCCGACGUUGAAGCUGAGGAUGGUUCUUUGGCCUCCGAGGAUGUCUCCGUCUUCAGAGAAGUUUGCAGAACGUAGCAACGAUCACGUGCGAAUCUGGUUUCUCUUUGGCAAUUAGAAUGGAAGAAAGGUUGAAAGGGUGACUCAACAGAAAAAACAUCACCCUCCACUUGCGGCUCAUCAUGCCCAGCUGUAAAGCGGGGAUUAUAUUUACCUCCAUUGCAAAGUACUCGGUUUCAGAAGACGUUGGUGCGGUUUGCUGAGGCCCCGGCUGGAAAAUACCACAAGAAGUUCAAAGCCCGGUUUCAUCCUGUAAUUGGAUCCUCAAGUCCACAAGUGCAAGAACCAACUGUGCGGGCUGACAGCAGGUCCUCCCCUCUUCCAACAAGAACCCCACCACAACACGGGGCUGUGGGGCUGAGCUGCAAGCGUGGCAUACCCAGGAGCUGCUACUUUCUGCUGCUAUGCACAAAAAAAUGUUGUUUAAAGCUUUUGCCACCCUGUUUGAUCUGACCUGCUGUUAUUUUUUCUUUCUUUUUUUUUUUUUUUAACUCUAAGACAUCUUCUUAACUCUCAUGCUCACUUGGGAUGCUCUUAAGAACAUGGACUUUAAUCCCAGUGUUACUUAAAUACCAAUUUAAUAUUUGUUUUCUCUCUGCCUUGACAAGAUAUUCCUCAGGUCAAGCAGGCAUGAAAUGAUAGAUAUUGAGUGCAAUUCUUCUGGGCAAGAAGAGCUACCUUCUAAGAUCUUAUCUCAAAACCACUUGGAAAUGUGUUCUUUAUUUAUUUAUGCCAUAAAAUCUCAUUCGAUGUUGAAGGCCCAAAGGAUUACAAUUCUGAAUUUGUUGGUUUGCUGUUUUGUUUUCUUUUUUUUUUCCCCCCGUCCUUGCUGAAAUCUGGCCUUUCAAAAUAACACAGAGAGAAUCUUUGUUUUGAUCUAAAAUAGCAGCUGCAAGGGCUUUUAAAUGACCAUUUAAAUGAGAUUUCUUUUUUUGCAUCUUCGCAUUAUAGUUUCAUUCUCGGUCUCUGAGAUCAGUAGCUGCGGUUGAGCAGCCGAGCCGUCUAAUGGGAAUAAAUUGUAAUAUUGUUCCAA